rnacentral:rRNA from 1 species
AUUGAACGCUGGCGGCAGGCCUAACCCAUGCAAGUCGAACGAGUGGCGGACGGGUGAGUAAUGUCUUGGAAACUGCCUGAUGGAGGGGGAUAACUACUGGAACCGGUAGCUAAUACCGCAUACCAUCGGAUGUGCCCAGAUGGGAUUAGCUAGUAGGUGGGGUAAUGGCUCACCUAGGCGACGAUCCCUAGCUGGUCUGAGAGGCGGACCAGCCACACUGGAACGGAGACACGGUCCAUACUCCUACGGGAGGCAGCAUUGGGGAAUAUUGCACAAUGGGCGCAAGCCUGAUGCAGCCAUGACGCGUGUAUGAAGAAGGCCUUCGGGUUGUAAAGUACUUUCAGCGAGGAGGCGUUACUCGCAGAAGAAGCACCGGCUAACUCCGUGCCAGCAGCCGCGGUAAUUC